CCUACGGGAGGCAGCAGUGAGGAAUAUUGGUCAAUGGACGAGAGUCUGAACCAGCCAAGUAGCGUGAAGGAUGACUGCCCUAUGGGUUGUAAACUUCUUUUAUAUGGGAAUAAAAUGUUCCACGUGUGGGAUUUUGUAUGUACCAUAUGAAUAAGGAUCGGCUAAAUCCGUGCCAGCAGCCGCGGUAAUACGGAGGAUCCGAGUGUUAUCCGGAUUUAUUGGGUUUAAAGGGAGCGUAGGUGGAUUGUUAAGUCAGUUGUGAAAGUUUGCGGCUCAACCGUAAAAUUGCAGUUGAAACUGGCAGUCUUGAGUACAGUAGAGGUGGGCGGAAUUCGUGGUGUAGCGGUGAAAUGCUUAGAUAUCACGAAGAACUCCGAUUGCGAAGGCAGUUCACUGGACUGCAACUGACACUGAGGCUCGAAAGUGUGGGUAUCAAACAGGAUUAGAUACCCUUGUAGUC
rnacentral:rRNA from 1 species